AAUUCAUCGAUUUUGUGCCACGGGGGUGUGUUUGUUUCACCACACCUCCCCUCCCCGCUGAUGUGAUCAACGCCCCGUUGUUUGCCCACAUUGGGGGGCGGGGGGCUGCAUAUCUAUCCCAUUCUGGAGGCUCGUCCUUGGAACCUCAUUGGAAGUCACAUCACGGGGCUGCCCACAGGCGAAGGGCCCGGGGGGCGCGUGGCGCGUGUCAUUAGUUGUGUUUCAGUGCGGGGGGGGGGAGGAAUUGAGUUGUGCCGCGUUCCACUUUCUUUCUUUUUUUUCUUCUUCUUCUUCUUCUUCUGACACACUCCAGUAAUUAGGAAGCCAUAAGUGGAUUAAGCCGGAGGCGGCCCGAGGCGGUGCCGCGGCCGGGAAAUGUAUCUUCAAUCAGCGGCUGACGGCUCGAGCCGCGCUGACGCAGCGAGAGGACCGAGAUCAAUGGCAGAGGAACGAACUAUGGUGCGCGUGACGCUGGCGGAGGAGGAAGCAGAUGGCAGCAUGGCUACUUCACGUUUUCUUGCUGUAUCAUGGGAAACACGCCAGAAACUUCAUCCUGUUGAUCUUUCGACUCAUUUAUUUUUGAGGAUUCUAUUUCUAAGCUUUGAGCUAGAAAGGGAACGAAUUUGUCAGAUAGAUAUACAUCAUUAUCUUGACUGUUGUUGUCUUAGACACCCCAAACAGGUUGGGCAAUUGGGGUAAAUCAAUCAAUCGAACAAAAAUCAUAUAUUCAGGAUAAACAUCUUGUUUUCAAAGCCGGUAGCCAUUAAUAUUGUGAUAUUGAUUCAUAUCAUUAAAACAACUCAAUUAAUCA